rnacentral:tRNA from 1 species
UAUGUAGUAGUGAUACACGUAAGAUUUUGAUUCUUAAAACCCUAUUAAUUUAGGUUACAUAA